rnacentral:rRNA from 1 species
UGGGGAAUUUUGGACAAUGGGGGAAACCCUGAUCCAGCCAUCCCGCGUGUGCGAUGAAGGCCUUCGGGUUGUAAAGCCCUUUUGGCAGGAAAGAAACGUCAUGGGUUAAUACCCCGUGAAACUGACGGUACCUGCAGAAUAAGCACCGGCUAACUACGUGCCAGCAGCCGCGGUAAUACGUAGGGUGCAAGCGUUAAUCGGAAUUACUGGGCGUAAAGCGUGCGAAGGCGGUUCGGAAAGAAAGAUGUGAAAUCCCAGAGCUCAACUUUGGAACUGAAUUUUUAACUACCGGGCUAGAGUGUGUCAGAGGGAGGUGGAAUUCCGCGUGUAGCAGUGAAAUGCGUAGAUAUGCGGAGGAACACCGAUGGCGAAGGCAGCCUCCUGGGAUAACACUGACGCUCAUGCACGAAAGCGUGGGGAGCAAACAGG